rnacentral:tRNA from 1 species
UCCCUGGUAGCUCAGAGAUUAAAGCGUCUGCCUCCAAUGCAGGAGACCCAGGUUCGAUCCCUGGGUUGGGAA